rnacentral:rRNA from 1 species
CCCUUAGAUGUCCUGGGCCGCACGCGCGUUACACUGAUGCAUUCAACGAGCUUAUAACCUUGGCCGAGAGGUCUGGGCAAUCUUGUUAACGUGCAUCGUGAUAGGGAUAGAUUAUUGAAAUUAUUAAUCUUGAACGAGGAAUUCCUAGUAAACGCAGAUCAUCAAUCUGCAUUGAUUACGUCCCUGCCCUUUGUACACACCGCCCGUCGCACCUACCGAUUGGAUGGUCCGGUGAAGCCUCGGGAUUGUGGUUCUUGCCGCUUUAUUGUGGCGUGACCGCGAGAACUUGUCUAAACCUGAUCAUCUAGAGGAAGGUGAAGUCGUAACA